UACGUAGGGUGCGAGCGUUGUCCGGAAUUAUUGGGCGUAAAGGGCUCGUAGGCGGUUUGUCGCGUCGGGAGUGAAAACACUGGGCUUAACUCAGUGCUUGCUUCCGAUACGGGCAGACUAGAGGUAUGCAGGGGAGAACGGAAUUCCUGGUGUAGCGGUGAAAUGCGCAGAUAUCAGGAGGAACACCGGUGGCGAAGGCGGUUCUCUGGGCAUUACCUGACGCUGAGGAGCGAAAGCCAGGGGAGCAAACGGG
rnacentral:rRNA from 1 species